GGGCUCGUAGCUCAGCUGGGAGAGCGCCGCGUUCGCAACGCGGAGGUCGACGGUUCGAUCCCGUUCGGGUCCACCA
rnacentral:tRNA from 2 species